GUCGGGUUUCGCCACCUCUGACUUGAGCGUCUAUUUUUGUGAUGCUCGUCAGGGGGGCGGAGCCUAUGGAAAA
rnacentral:misc_RNA from 1 species